GAUCAUUAUUGAAAUAAACCUGAUGAGUUGCUGCUGGCUCUCUAGGGAGCAUGUGCACACUUGUCAUCUUUAUAUCUCCACCUGUGCACCUUUUGUAGACCUGGAUAUCUCUCUGAGUGCUUAGCACUUCAGGUUUGAGGAUUGACUUUAUUGUUCUCUCCUUAUAUUUCCAGGCCUAUGUUUCUUCAUAUACCCCAUUGUAUGUUAUAGAAUGUAACAAAAAUGGGCCUUUGUGCCUAUAAACCUAUACAACUUUCAGCAACGGAUCUCUUGGCUCUCGCAUCGAUGAAGAACGCAGCGAAAUGCGAUAAGUAAUGUGAAUUGCAGAAUUCAGUGAAUCAUCGAAUCUUUGAACGCACCUUGCGCUCCUUGGUAUUCCGAGGAGCAUGCCUGUUUGAGUGUCAUUAAUAUAUCAACCUCUUCAACUUUUGUUGAGUGUUGGAUGUGGGGGUUUUCUUUUGUUGGCCUCUCUCUGAGUUCAGCUCCCCUGAAAUACAUUAGCGGAACAAUUUUGUGGAUUCGUUCAUUGGCGUGAUAAUUAUCUAUGCUAUUGACAUGAAGCAGUUCAGCUUAUAACAGUCCAUUGACUUGGACAAAUUUUUAUUAAUGUGACCUCAAAUCAGGUAGG
rnacentral:rRNA from 1 species